ACGACAACAAAAUUGCGGAGACUGCAACAACAGACGAAAAACAACAAAAACAAAACCUCACCUGCCUGUAGCCCUAGUAAUUCUGAAGACCUUGAUUAGCUUGUUCAGUGACGGCACCCAUUGACUUGCAUUUUGUGAAUCACCAAAGGUUCACCAUGGAUCCAGCUAUAAACCAUCUUCAAUGUUCUACUGAAGAAAGAAAUUCAUCUUGGAUGCCCUUGAGGUGCCUGUGUGAGAGGGAGGGUUGAUUCUGUGAAGGAACCUGCCAACUACCACAUUUUGCUGACCAUCUGGCAAGAAGCAGUUACGCACCUGUUAGGAGCAGAUGCAGGAGACAGGAGCUAGGUACAGACAUAUCAUCUCUCUCUCUGUCUCGCUGUCUUUUUAUAAAGUCCUAGCAAACCCUGUACAUCCAUCCAUCCAUCAGGUGCCCUAAGGGGCCACAGGGAGCUCCGCCAGUGAAGACAAAUUAAUACAGGUUCAACUGGAAGGCAUGUGGGCAAAAUGUGCCUGCUUUCACCAGAUGAAAAAUUUCAUCCUGUGCAGAAAAUUGAGGUUGCCACAAUGUCAUGGAAUUUGAAGAAAGCUCUUAAAAAAAUAAAUAAAAUUGAGACCUGCUGACAAGACCAGCAUGCAUUUCCAUGCUGGCCCAGACUGAUUUAUUAUAGUUAUAAAAAAUGAUUUGGUGAUGCUGGUGGAUCUUUCUGGUUAAGCUUAAGGUUAACAUGGUUAAGCCAGACCAAUUAUAGUGGUCUUUUCUGACAUGUGGACACUUCUGAAAAUAAUACAUGCGAUGUUUCCUUUAUAGAUGCACAGGUUGCAGACCAAAUUGUGACUAUAUGAGACAAAAAAUAAAACCAAGGGAGAAUAAUUUAAAAUCUAUUCAAGAAAAAAAAAAUUUUGCAUCUAUGAGAGACAUAUUGUAUGUGUUUCCUGCACAUAACAAUGAACACAGCAUGCCAAAUUCUCAAACAAAAGACUCUUAUCAACCAGUUAUUUUUAAUGAGUCAGUCAAAAAGAUUCAUAAAACAGGUCUCAAAUUCUUUGUGCAAGUUACUGUUUUGAAUCAGAUCCACUGAAUCAGUGGAUACAGUGGAAGCUGAUACUGAGUUCUGACUUGUUUAGUACAAUUUAAUACUAACAUGAAAUAACAAGUGCAUUUAUUAUUCUUUUAAAUGUUAAUUCCUACAAAUACUAAUAUAUUUAUUUAAAAACGUACAUACAUUAUUACAUUAUGAACUAAAAAUAAACAAUAGUAUUUUUUAUAAAUGAACAUCAGUCAAGAUUAAUAAAUGCUAAAAAAAUUAUUUGUUUAUUUUUCAUGAUACAUGUUAAUGUAUAAAAUCAUAUUAUAAAGUUUAAGAAAAAUAUUAUAUAUUAUUACAUAUAGCCAUACAUAAAAACACAUAAAAAUCAAUAUUGCAUGUAUCUACACUCUCAGAAAAAAGGUACAAAAGCUGUCAGUGGUGUGAAGAUAUUUCAAAAGAUACACCUUUGUACCUUAUUUAACCCUAAAGGGUGCGUUUUAGUACAUUAAGGUAGUUCACCCAUAAAUGAAAAUGCUGUUAAUAAUUACUCAACCUAAUGUCAUUCCAAACCUGUAAGACCUUCGUUCAUAUGCGGAGCACAAAUUAAGAUGUUUUUGAUGCAUUCCGAGAGCUCUCUGACCCUCCCAUAGACAGCAAGGAUCCU